rnacentral:ncRNA from 1 species
AAGGCGGUGUCCGAAAAGCCUUAAAAAGAGUAGGAA